CUCCAAUCGACCAUGCUUCACACACUGCCGGUGGAAUUUCGCAGUAUCUGGGAAGGAUCAUGUUGCCGGAAAUUUACUAACGAUGUCUAUCUCCACCUGAUUAUCAAGAAAGCUGCUGAUACCACCCAUUGAUUGAUUAUAACUGGGAUGAAGAAAAGACAUGUUGGUGACUUUAAUCCCUUUUCAAGGUGCUUACAUGUUUUUGCGAACUGAGAUUAUUAUUUUUAAUGCUGUAUCUUUAAUUGAUAACUUGAAGGGAAAGAGAAAAGGAGAGGAAGUCAGAAGAAAGGAAAACCUCUCCCUGACUUCUGAGUCAUAAAUUUAACAGGUGUGACCUUUUGAAAUAGUGGAAAAUUCACCUUAACCUGCCUGACAAGUAAAAGGUGUUUUACCCUA